CCGCUUGGGAAGUAUGGUCGCAAGACUGAAACUUAAAGGAAUUGGCGGGGGAGCACCGCAACGGGAGGAAUGUGCGGUUUAAUUGGAUUCAACGCCGGAAAACUCACCGGGAACGACCUGCGCAUGAGAGUCAACCUGACGAGCUUACUCGAUAGCAGGAGAGGUGGUGCAUGGCCGUCGUCAGCUCGUACCGUAGGGCGUUCACUUAAGUGUGAUAACGAGCGAGACCCACAUCUUUAAUUGCAAAUGUAUAUGAGAAUAUGCAUGCACUUUAGAGAAACCGCCAGCGCUAAGCUGGAGGAAGGAGUGGUCGACGGCAGGUCAGUACGCCCCGAAUUUCCCGGGCUACACGCGCAUUACAAAGAACGGGACAAUACGUUGCAACCUCGAAAGAGGGAGCUAAUCGCGAAACCCGUCCAUAGUUAGGAUUGAGGGCUGUAACUCGCCCUCAUGAAUCUGGAUUCCGUAGUAAUCGCGGGUCAACAACCCGCGGUGACAUG
rnacentral:rRNA from 1 species